rnacentral:rRNA from 1 species
UGGGGAAUUUUGGACAAUGGGGGAAACCCUGAUCCAGCCAUCCCGCGUGUGCGAUGAAGGCCUUCGGGUUGUAAAGCACUUUUGGCAGGAAAGAAACGUCAUGGGUUAAUACCCCGUGAAACUGACGGUACCUGCAGAAUAAGCACCGGCUAACUACGUGCCAGCAGCCGCGGUAAUACGUAGGGUGCAAGCGUUAAUCGGAAUUACUGGGCGUAAAGCGUGCGCAGGCGGUUCGGAAAGAAAGAUGUGAAAUCCCAUAGCUCAACUUUGGAACUGCAUUUUUAACUACCGGGCUAGAGUGUGUCAGAGGCAGGUGGAAUUCCGCGUGUAGCAGUGAAAUGCGUAGAUAUGCGGAGGAACACCGAUGGCGAAGGCAGCCUCCUGGGAUAACACUGACGCUCAUGCACGAAAGCGUGGGGAGCAAACAGG